UGCCUUUGCGAGGGGGAUAACAGUUGGAAACGACUGCUAAUACCGCAUAAUGUCUUCGGACCAAACGGGGCUUCGGCUCCGGCGCAAAGAGAGGCCCAAGUGAGAUUAGCUAGUUGGUGAGGUAAAGGCUCACCAAGGCAACGAUCUCUAGCUGUUCUGAGAGGAAGAUCAGCCACACUGGGACUGAGACACGGCCCAGACUCCUACGGGAGGCAGCAGUGGGGAAUAUUGCACAAUGGGGGAAACCCUGAUGCAGCCAUGCCGCGUGUGUGAAGAAGGCCUUCGGGUUGUAAAGCACUUUCAGUUGUGAGGAAAAGUUAGUAGUUAAUACCUGCUAGCCGUGACGUUAACAACAGAAGAAGCACCGGCUAACUCCGUGCCAGCAGCCGCGGUAAUACGGAGGGUGCGAGCGUUAAUCGGAAUUACUGGGCGUAAAGCGCACGCAGGCGGUUUGUUAAGCUAGAUGUGAAAGCCCCGGGCUCAACCUGGGACGGUCAUUUAGAACUGGCAGACUAGAGUCUUGGAGAGGGGAGUGGAAUUCCAGGUGUAGCGGUGAAAUGCGUAGAUAUCUGGAGGAACAUCAGUGGCGAAGGCGACUCCCUGGCCAAAGACUGACGCUCAUGUGCGAAAGUGUGGGUAGCGAACAGGAUUAGAUACCCUGGUAGUCCACACCGUAAACGCUGUCUACUAGCUGUUUGUGACUUUAAGUCGUGAGUAGCGAAGCUAACGCGAUAAGUAGACCGC
rnacentral:rRNA from 1 species